AUUGAACGCUGGCGGCAUGCCUUACACAUGCAAGUCGAACGGUAACAGGUCUUCGGAUGCUGACGAGUGGCGAACGGGUGAGUAAUACAUCGGAACGUGCCUAGUAGUGGGGGAUAACUACUCGAAAGAGUGGCUAAUACCGCAUGAGAUCUACGGAUGAAAGCAGGGGAUCGCAAGACCUUGUGCUACUAGAGCGGCCGAUGGCAGAUUAGGUAGUUGGUGGGAUAAAAGCUUACCAAGCCGACGAUCUGUAGCUGGUCUGAGAGGACGAUCAGCCCCACUUGGACUGAGACACGGCCCAGACUCCUACGGGAGGCAGCAGUGGGGAAUUUUGGACAAAGGGCGCAAGCCUGAUCCAGCAAUGCCGCGUGCAGGAUGAAGGCCUUCGGGUUGUAAACUGCUUUUGUACGGAACGAAAAGCCCUGGGUUAAUACCCUGGGGUCAUGACGGUACCGUAAGAAUAAGCACCGGCUAACUACGUGCCAGCCGCCGCCGUAAUAC
rnacentral:rRNA from 1 species